GGACUAUUCUGAGAACACAGGGCCCUGGAGGAUGCUGCUCUGCAGCUCCUGCGGUUCCUGUGGCACCCACCAGCACUGCUCCGCCAUCGCAGAGGACGUUGAAUCGUGGGAGUGCAGCGGCUGCAGCGGUGUGGGCACCGCCCCUUCAGCGUCAGCCGCAGUGCAGUGAUCCCUGCACAGCACCCAGCUCCUGGCACUUUGGCUCCAGCACAAGAGGCUGCGACGCUCCAUGGACACGCGACGCUCAGCUGCCUGCACAGCCCAUGGAAGCCCCUCAGCCACUCCACCCUGCCAGCCUCUCAACAACAGCAGCCCUGCUGGUUGAACC